rnacentral:lncRNA from 1 species
UUGACAGUCGUCAGCAUAGCUUCGGUUUUAGACCAUCUACCUUGCAGCUCGUCAACUCCCCAGCAAGACGACUGGCCUCAGAACCGCUCUCAGUGAUCAUCCCGUUGAUCAGUGACAUGAACUGCGAGACGAAAAAAGAGUUAGGGAUAAAAAUAAAUCAUAAAAACAAAAAAAUACAAAACAAGCAACAAACGUUUCCGCGUAGUCCCAACGCUAGACUCGAGCCUCCUUGCUGCGAAGAUUCCCCAUCACCGCCCUUGGUAAACUUCCUCUUCCGGCCCUUAGGCUGGGCAACUGGAACAGCGCUAGGAGCACGCAGCGCUAGGACGAUCUCUUUUCUAGCCGAAGGAGGAGGCAUAGACUCAGCGGCCCUCUCCUUAUUCUCGACAAGAAUCGGAGUCGUGGACGAUCCGGCAGGAAGAAUUGAAGUAUCCGGAACACACGGAACGCUUGUGGUAGUGAGGGUUCAUGCAU